GACGAACCAUGCAAACGUUAUUCGGAAUCACUGGGCUUAAAGCGUGCGUAGGCGGUUCAGAAAGUUGGGUGUGAAAUACUUCGGCUCAACCGAGGAAUUGCGCCCAAAACUACUGGGCUUGAGGGAGUUAGAGGUGAGCGGAACUCACGGUGGAGCGGUGAAAUGCGUUGAUAUCGUGAGGAACACCGGAGGCGAAAGCGGCUCACUGGGGCUUUACUGACGCUGAGGCACGAAAGCUAGGGGAGCAAACGGG
rnacentral:rRNA from 1 species